UACGUAGGUGGCAAGCGUUGUCCGGAAUUAUUGGGCGUAAAGCGCGCGCAGGCGGUCCUUUAAGUCUGAUGUGAAAGCCCACGGCUCAACCGUGGAAGGUCAUUGGAAACUGGGGGGACUUGAGUGCAGAAGAGGAAAGUGGAAUUCCAAGUGUAGCGGUGAAAAUGCGUAGAGAUUUGGAGGAACACCAGUGGCGAAGGCGACUUUUCUGGUCUGUAACUGACGCUGAGGCGCGAAAGCGUGGGGGAGCAAACAGGG
rnacentral:rRNA from 1 species